AGAAACAACAAAAACACCCGAGCUCACAACAAUAGAAACAACAAAAACACCCAAGGUCACAACAAUAGAAACAACAGAAACACCCGAGCUCACAACAAUAAGGGCGUCAUUAACACCAGACGCCUCAACAACUGGAACCUUUUUAAACAACGGAGAAUCCUGCCCAUGUUCUUGCGAUUAUUUUGACAAGGUAAACUAUUGGAGUAAUCAAAGCAACCUUCUGGAACAGUUCAAAGAUCUGGAGAUAAAACUCACAGAAAUCAGAAAACAGUUGACUGUUAACUUCAGAAAUUUAUCAUCUAGUGUCAGGACCCGGGUUAGUGCCCCGGAUGAGAGACAGUCAUCUGCUGUCAUAGGAUCUCUUGGAAUAAUUUUUAUUUCCCUUGUGUUUGGAGGAAUUUUUUUGUCAGACUUCCCUAUUUUCGUCCAGCACACCAAAACAAUUUUGCACAAGUUAAAAAGGUAUUUCAAUACAUUCCAGGACUAAUAUCAGGACAUUUUUGAACGACAAUUUAGGCAAUUUUACAAAUAGUUCAUAAAGUAUCCAAAAAUUAUUCAGAAAAAAUCCAGUGAACUAAAACCAGCAAAAAGAGAUACAACUGAAAAUCGCUGGUGGAAGAAGUUAAAAACAAAAGCACUCAUACUCAAGAUUUUUCCGUUCUGCUUUGUAAAAAUGUACCCUCCCCUAUUCUUCAUGUAAUAUUUAGAUAUUUGAUUCAAGAAAAACACGUAGAAUUUAAAAAAGCCAUUUGUAGGAAAAAUUUUGCACAAAGCGUCAAAGGUAAAAUGUUUCAUGUCCCUUCAAUCAAUUUUACAUGUAUAUUACUCUAGUUGUGUACUUUACUGCAAUAUUGUAGCCUUCAUCCCAGUGUGGAAAAACAGGAUUAAAAAUUAAAAAGUAAGUUUACAUUCAA